GCAAACUUCGGCGGAGACAUCGCCGGGCGCGGGGCGGGACCGGGGCGGGGGCAGAGCCGGGGGCGGGGGGGGAGGGCGGCCCCGCGGGGAGCCGCUGCCGGGCCCCUGCGGGCGGAGCGGGGUGCGGGGAUGUCCCGGAGGCUGUACCGGGGGUGGAGGGAUGCGGGGCUGCAUCGGGCGGUGCUGCGGCGGAUGUCCCACGGGGUUGAGUGGGAUCCGGAGGCUGUUCCGGGGAAUUGAAGGGUGCCCGGGGGCUAGCGGGAUGCGGGGUUGUACCGGGGGGUGCCCUGAAGGCUGUCCCGGAGAUUAAGGGGUACCCAUAGGCUCUCCCGGGGGAUAGAUGCCCCAGGGCUGUUUUUGGGCAUAGAGGGGUGCGGAGCUGUCCUGGGGGGUGCGGAGAUGCCCCGGAGGUGUUCCAGGGGAUAGAGGGAUGCGGGGCUAUACCAGGGGAUGUCCCAGAGGCGGUCCCGGGGGCCAGAAGGAUGCGAGGAUAUCCGGAGGGUGCCCCGGAGGGUGUUCGGGGGGUUAGAGGGGUGCGGGGCUGUCCCCUCGGGCAGAGGGGAGAUCUCGGCUCUCUACAGCUUCUCUCUCGAUGCUGACUGACUUUCCAGGCUCACUGGGCAGCCACACUCCACUGGACUUCUCUGUAAAACCUGUGCAGGGUGAUGAAACCACGGUGUCCAUCUGACCACCCUUUGUCCACCUUUCUGUCCAUCCACCCGGAGUUUUGAACCACCCUCCAUCCCUCUGAUGGAUUUCCAAAUCCAUACCCACCCCAGCUGCAACGCUGCUAGAUCACUUCAUCUAACAUUGGUGAGUGUAAUUCCAGCUCGGUGUGUUUGGUGACUUCAAGAUACUGUAGCGAUGCAGGUAUUUCAGUGCUUCAACAUGUAAGUAGAUGCCUGGUGUGGUUUACAAAAGGCUGUAAGCAGGUUAGGCCCCUAACACCUCUAGGCAACUACUUACAUCAUUAGGAGCCUAAAUGCCUUUAUAAAUCUGUGCUCUGAUCCGCAGCUCAUUGAAGGCAAUGAAAAGACUUUGCUGACAUCAAUGGGCUUUGGAGUGGGCCCUGUAGAAGGAGCAUGAUCAAUGCAAAGUGCUUUGACUUCUUUAUGCUGCUUAUUACGAUAGUUUUUUCCUAGACACUUAGAACAAUGCUGCAUUUUCUGUUUGAAUAAAUGGUCAUUUCAAGCAGAGAAAACAAGAAAAGAGAAGCGAAAUCAGUGUGAAAGGGUGCAGAGGGAUGAUGUGUGUGGAACUGCUGUGAUCGUAUCACAGAACUCACGUUUGCUGCCUUCUUUUCCUGGAAAUACUGAACCUGACUCAUCGUUUCUGCCUGCUGGGGCUGAAGGCACCGGUGGCUCCAGCAGCCAGGAACAACUCUCCAGAAGGAAGGUGUCUUACCUGGGAGAAAGGGCAAUAAAACAGUGAAUAGAUUCAUCCCUCUGUGCCCUGUAUUGCUGAGGACUUUGCCGGUACAGCUGCAAACAUGAGAUUCCAUGAGCAGGCUGGUUUUGUCCUUAUUUUUAGUGCUUGUUCCCCCCGAGGAAUGUUCUGCUGCACAAGUCAUUCCUGGUGCUACUUCUGAGAGUGAGUGGGGCUCUUCUCCCAGCAUGGUAGUGCCAAAAUCCCCCUCCACCACCAGCAGCAGCCCAUUAGAAUCAUAGAAUAGAAUCAUAGAAUGGUUUGGGUUGGAAAGGACCUGAAGAUCAUCUGAAGAUCAUCCUGCCACGGGCAGGGACACUUUCCACUAGAGCAGGUUGCUCCAAGCCCCGUCCAACCUGGCCUUGAACACUGCCAGGGAUGGGGCAGCCGGCGCCUCAGCACCCUCACAGGGAAGAACUUCCUUGUUUCUAACCUAAAUAUCCCGUUUAAGUUUGAACAUAAACAAAGCUUUCUAUUCCAAA